AAAAUGGUGUUUUUCAACACCAUAAACCAAAGUUCUUAAAAGAUG
rfam:Picea glauca, whole genome shotgun sequence.